ensembl:snoRNA
UAGCAUGUUUCUAAGAGAUGUGGCUGUUUGUGGAUAUGGGAUCUCCAACUGCAUGCUAGAGCAAUGUGGAGAGACUUUGAUAGUUCAAAUCAACACAGUACCUGUGGCUGCCACUCGCCUAAAGUG